AAAAUUGACGUUGACAUGUUUCUCCAUGAAGCAUUAUGUAACAAGCGCAUUGAAGAAAUUCUCCAAUUUAAGUACUCAAAUCUUUCCUUUUUCUUUUCAUGAAUACAAAUUUUCAAUUACACUUUCUAAUAAUAAAAGAAAAUUUUAAUCACUAAUCUACAUUUCCCUUUCCACUGGAGAAAUAGUAAGGCAAAAAAAAUACAAUACUCAACAGCCUCAACAAAAACUGGUACAUCUUCCAUGCAAUAGAUUGCCAUUUAGUUGGCUAUCCGUGAAGAGUGAGAAGAUGAGUCAGACUUCUCAGCUAGAUAGCGCCCAAGCAUAUCUUCUUCAUCAUCCGCCAUCAUAUCAAAAAGAAGAUCAUUCUUUUGAUCAUAUAUGCACAUGAUAAAGGUUAUGGGUGGUAAUUUUAGACACAAUCCGCGAACACGAUGAGAAAAUAUAGGAUUUGGGUUAAACUUAUUCAUGUUCAUGUCGAAUUCAUGUCCACCCAUGACACGGGUAUAAUCAUGUCGUAUCAUGGGUUAACCCGCUAAUUCAAAUUGACACGUUUAUGACACGGUUUAAUAUUCAUGUCACGUGUUGA
rnacentral:misc_RNA from 1 species